UACAGGGGGGGGCAAGCGUUGUUCGGAAUUACUGGGCGUAAAGGGUUUGUAGGUGGCUUGUUAAGUCAGACGUGAAAUCCCUCAGCUUAACUGGGGAACUGCGUCUGAUACUGCUGUGCUAGAGUGCAGAAGGGGCAAUCGGAAUUCUUGGUGUAGCGGUGAAAUGCGUAGAUAUCAAGAGGAACACCUGAGGUGAAGACGGGUUGCUGGGCUGACACUGACGCUGAGGCGCGAAAGCCAGGGGAGCAAACGGG
rnacentral:rRNA from 1 species